UUGUGUUCUGUCAAGUUUGUUGUUGAUAUUUUCUCUCGCUGUGCUUUUAUUUCGCGUUUUUCAGCAAACAACACUUAAAUAUUUGACUAUAUAUUAUUAAUAAUAUCGAUAUAGAUAUGUCCCGAUUAUUAUGUCUAAACUUACAGGACUUCUAUUCAGGGCAAGAUAUUACAAGCGUGAUACCAUGCCCGAAAUAUGUGUGCAUGUGCUGCCUUGCUACCGAUGUCCGGUAUAUCAACUUAUCUAGUUGUAAACAUGCACAUUUUCUAAAUAUGUGCAUUAAUAUAAAGGUGGAGCUACACAAUCAAGUCAUUUGCUAUCAUUGUCAUAGACUCUUGAUCAAGAUAGAAGUAUUUAGACAGCAAGUUGAAGAUAGCUUAUUUAAAUUAACAUCUCAGAAGCCAGAUAAUCAAAACUUAGAAAAUAAUCGCUACAAUUUAGUCUCCACAAAAAUAGAAAUCACAGAUUCUAAUUCAGA